rnacentral:lncRNA from 1 species
GGGAGUUCCUACAAAGGGGAGCUGUAAGUCGUAUGCAAGGAAAGAGCAACAGCUCUCCCUUCGGUGAUUGGUAACAGCGCGGAUUUUGUCAGAUGAUAGCGUGGAUUCUCCUGGAGAGAGCAGUGGGAGUUAUAGGUUGUGUUAUUGUUAUCACCAUCUGCUGAGUGUUCGGCACCGUGGAUCUCAUCAUUGCAGGUCCAGCUGACUGUCGGAAAAAUCUUAAAGCUUGCAGCUGAUCGACUGAUGUUAUUAGUGUUAUUAAGAUUCCAGCUAAAGGACAUCGUCAGCACUGUGCAUGAUGUAUAGACCAUGGUUUUUGUCCUAAAUGUCAGAGUGUGAGUGUGAGUGCGAUGUGAGUGAGACGCGUUCCGUUCAGGGAAUGAGUGUCAGUCCAUUUAUGUAGUACUGCGUUCGCAUUGUGGGGAAGAGUGUAAAGGAAGGUGGACGGGUUUCUGUGAGAUCUGUUUCCGAGUGUUUAUAACUGAACAAUGUCACUAUACGGUGUUAAGGGCUGUUUGUGGAAACUCGGAGGAAAUUAGGAAUCAAUAAGGAUUGCGUAAACAUCCCGGGAGACUCCGAGGGGAAGGAAAUCCCCAAACAAACCCCUUUGGGAUGUGCAUUGGCCCAUUGGUGGGAUACUGCGGGGGAACCUGGAGGCACCCUGGGUAAGGAAACUCUCAUCAAGCAUUGCCAUCAAUGGCGGUUAAUAUAUAAGUUAGAAGAUGAUGAGAAGUGGCAUCGGAAUGGGACCCUAAACUAUAAUGCCUUCUUAUAGUUCCUGUUCUUCUUAAGGAGGGAAGGUAAAUGAAGUAACAUGGACAGUUUUUAUAAUUGAGUGCUCUCAUCACGAGACUCAGUACUGGGUGUUUGUGGACACUGAAGAACUGUACUGUUUGAUGUGUGGGUUCUGAAGGGAACGGGACAAACGGUUUUGAUGGUAUAAGUGUAAUUGUUAAUGGUAUACAGAAGCUGGAUUGAGGGUAUGUGGAAGUGUAACUGAGGGUAUGAACAGUGGACAAAGGAAAAAGGGUUAAAGAGAAAGUGAGUUUAUCUGCGCUGGCAUGAGAGCAGCCCCCCCGCACCAUUCCCCUGCGAGCAGAACUCUCGGAGUGAGAGAGAGCGCCGGAGUCACAGAGUGCUGCUGUAAACAGCGUUACUUGUGAAUGGGGGGAGGUGGAGAGGAUGGGGCACUGGAGGUGAGAAUAGCCUUCAUGUGCAGAGAUCUCGGAAACCCGAAAUUCCAGUGUUAGCACUGGAAGCCUCCGGAGAGGAGGAGGUGAAACUGAAAUGUAAUGGUAGUACUUUAUGGAAUGAUGAGAGUUUGGGAAGGGAAAAGUUUGAGGACGCAGGCUGAGGAAGGCAAAGAUGAGCAAGGUGUAACAGGGAUGUAGAUCCAAAGAGAAGUGAGCAAUAUGAAGAAAAAUCUGAUUGAGGAACAGUGAUAGUAAGGAAAUUGGGAAUAGCAACAGCUGUUCCUGUUGCGGUGCUGGAGUAGAGCUGUAGGACUGUAAGAGACUAUUCUUUUAUAUCAUUGACUCAAAGUUUGCUGAGGAGCAAGUCCAGGCAAGUCCUGGGCAAAGGCAGAGAAAUCUUUUGUCUUGAGGACACUGAUGGACGGGUCCUGGCUAAGGAUUGUGAAAUCCUUUAAGGAGCACAGAUGGACACGGCCAGGGGCAGCGAGAGAGAGAUAAGCUGCCGCUAAUGGCCGGUAAGCGGUCUUUUUGUGGGGACUUGUCUCAAGGAAAAUGGCCAUCUCAGGAGGUAUGCACAGGACUCUUGCUCAAGCACCCAGGAAUGUCACGUAGGCAGCAGAAAAUGGAGGAUAAAAGAGGGUCCAAUAACCACAGCGGUGAAAGCUGAUCCUUCACCACAACCACGGCAAGGGUAGAGGCUUAUCACUCACUAUGACAGACUUGAGGGGCUCUCUGCCAUCUGAUCCUUCACCACAACGUGGAGACUGAUCUCUACGUGGAGGCUGAUCUCUCACCGCAACACAGAGGCUGAUCUCUCAUGAUCUCUCACCAGGACACGAGCUUCCUGCCUUCAGAUCCUUCUCUACGGACCGUUUGCUGACGGACUUCCCUGGGCCUGCUACCUGAGACCUGCUGCUUCCUCCCUGACCUGCACCCUCUCGUUGUCCAAGACCCCCCUCGCUGCUCCUGCCCUUCGGCCUCGGACCGUCGGAACGUCGUGCAACGGACUGCUGCCGGAUCCUGGUGGUGCCUAUCCCCGCUUUACGCAAUUCUUGCUUCUUUCUAUCUUUUCCAUCGCUCGCCUUCCCUUCCCCAUCACCCCAAUCCUUAAUAGUGUCCGUCCUCCCCUUUCCCCAUCUCCCUUAUUAACAUUUGUAAUAAACCGGUCGGACCAACAUUUGAACCGUUGUUUCUUAAUCUCACGCCGGGCAUACAUAUUUCAAAGAACCUCCUCUCCCUCCUAUAAAUUGGAGCGAGACAAGGACCCAGAGGUCCCCUUAGAAAGAGGUAAUGGGGGGGGGGGCUGGAAGAACCCAUGGAGGGUUCCACCCCUCCUGGACUGAAAGCAGUGUGCAAACUGCAGGGAUAUGAGACAUCGGUGGAGAAAUCCAACCGUCUCUGAUUGCAAAAAGCUGAAUGAUGGGAACCUGGGAAGUUAUUCCUGGCAAAUCCACCGGUGAAAUUGCAGCCAGGAGAGCAGGAGAAAGAGGUUUCGUUUCUGGUGGGCAUGGGGGCCUCUCACCACCCGUAGAUGAUUUUGCAGCAGUGGUAGGAGCUACUGCCCAACAAGAAAGAGCUUCCCUUUGGGGAUCAAGUGAAUAUAGGCUGAGAAAAUAAGUCAGAAUACAUCAAUUCCUGUACAUGCCGGGUUCUCCAAAACCGUUCCUCUGGCAAGGCUCAUUAGAACAAAUGGAUGCAGAGAUUCAAUUCAAUAACACUGGAGCAAAGGGUCAAACAAGAUGAACUGAUUGCAAAUGGUAAGUCUGGCUUUAAUACAAACUGGGAAAAACAAUGUUGUACCCCCAGAAGUUACAGAAAUCUUCACUAAGGUAUGCUUAGCAGUGUGGGUAUCAGGGAUGCCUGGUAGAGCCAAAAUGCAGCCCUAAGUUCAAAGCAAGAGCUGGAGCUAGCCCAGGCAGGGUAAAGCGGUGCCCUCUGACGAUAUACAGCUGGAGAAGGAUGAAAGAAAUAAUAGAUAACUUUUGGAUUUUGGAUGACUAAUUGAAUGUGAAUCCAAAUACAGUACUCCAAUCUUGCCGAUGAAAAAUUGGAUAGCAAGUGCUGUAGUUUAGUACAAGACUGGAAGACAAGUCAUAGACUUGCUGAAUGUAUACACUCCGUGGUGGCAAAUCCAUCCACUUUAGUAACUCAGUUAGGGAAUGAGUAGGUGGAGUUUCCUUCUGGAUUUGAAGGAUGCCUUUUCUGCCUGGUUUGGGAAGCCUAAGGUUGUUUGCUGUUGAAUAGGAGAACCUCAAUUCGGAACAAUUGAAUAGGAGAGCCUCAAUUGGGAACAAAAAGACUCAUUUAACCUGGACAGUGUUAGCCAGGGCUGUGAGAACAGCCCAAGGAUUUUUGAGAACUGCUCAACUCGUGAGUCUGAGAUUUGGGUUCCUCCACCCCACGGUGGAACUUUACUGCAGAACGUGGAUGCCACAGAAACAAAGAGGGCUGUGUGCAAUGGACUGCGAAUGUGCUGAAUUUCUUUGUUUGAAUGAUGAUCGACUUUCUCAAUAGAAGGCACCAAGAACUCAACAGCAAGGGACCGAUCUGGGAUGGGAGAUUACAGCUGGACUUGGAACCUUAAGGACUGCCAGGAAAGAAGCCAUCUGCCAAACCCCUGAGCCACAAAGUGCCGAGGAACUCCGUACAUUCUCAGGAAUGACAGCAGGGUGCCAACCGUGGACACAUGGCUACGGACUGGUGGUAAAGUCCCUUUAUGGAGUGGGUAAGAGAUGGCCAGAGUGCUUGAGGGCGGUGGCUGCACCAGUGCUCAAUAUUCAAGAACCUGGUAAAUUUACCCUAGGCCAAAGAAUAGCAGUUUGAAUAUCUGAUACAGUGUCUGCUGUAUUGUAUUGGAGGUAAAAGGGGGGCAUUGGCUCUCACCCCCAGAGGUUCCUGAAAUGCCAGGCCAUCCUGGCACAGCGGGAUGAUGCAGAAAUAACUGGAACUAAUAUUGUCAAUCCAGCAUCUCUCCUUAGCAGAACUCCCGGAGAACCAAUAUUUCGUGACUGCUUUGAAACUACUGCGGCUACGGACUGCUGCCAGUCGGAGCUGAAAGACGAACCCUUAGAAGAUGCAGAGGACACCUGGCUUACUGAUGGAAGCAGUUUGGUGAGACAAGGAAACCGUAAGGCAGGGUAUGCAGGAACUGCUACUGACAAAGUCAUCGAAGCACGACCGUUACCUGUGGGGACUUUCCCUCAGAAGGCUGGAAUGGCUGCCUUGACGAGAGACUCAAAUAUACAGACAGAUGCUCAUGAUGUAUUUGGGGUGCUACACGCUCAUAGCACCAUCUGAAAAGAGCAGGGAUGGCUCACGCACCAGGAAAAACAGCCUGCAGGAAGGGAACACUGUGCAGGAAACUGGAGGUAAGAUGGUGGAUCGGGGGCAGAACAGGCAGUUGAAGGGGGCUUUAAUUCCAGGUGGUAAACUUAAAGUUUCUGAACCUGAGUCAGAACCUGUAAAAUAUUCUGAAGAAGGUCGGAAUUAAUGAUUGAGAAGGGAAGGGAGCAAGCUGACAGAUGGGUACAUGCCCGGGUGGACACACUGUUGUGUCCUUUAGUAUUUCACUGAAAUUGGUUCUAAGGGAAGCUAAGAAAAUGUAUAGGCAAACAGGUAUGACAAAGUACGAUCCCAAUACCAGGAACAGAGUAAAGUGGGCCUAUUGGGAAAGGGAACCUUCCAUUGUUGACCUUCCAGGGCAACAGUGGCAAAUUGAGUUCUUGGAACCGCCAAGAAAAGGGGGGUAUCGCUGUGUGUUCGUACUGAUACCUUCUAGAGCGGCCAGAGGCAUUCCCUUGUAGAACUGAUGAGGCACGUGGGGUAAUUAAAGUAUUGUCACGGGACGUUAUUCCGACACGCUGAGGAACUGCUUGGAC